CUUCGUUACCUUAUAAAAGACUUCAUUACCUUAUAAAAGACUUCGUUACCUUAUAAAAGACUUCGUUGCCUUAUAGACCUAUUUCUAUAUUGUACACAUAUUUAAUAACAUACAAUUUAAAAGUCUGAAUUUCUUCUUUGUUCUCUUUUUAUUAUGUUCAAAGGUUCGGAUCAUUAAUCGUAUAUCUGAGAUGAGCCGCGCAGUGAUUUCCUGAUCAGGUAGUUCUCCGUAUAGUUUUUCUUCUAUAGGAGGGUUUCGAGGCCCGAGUACUGUUCAUGCUUCUCGAUAGAGCAAGCAGCUUCGUAGGACAUGGUUAGAGUUCUCUGGUGACGCUGGGGCAAGUCCCGACUUUUAGCUUCCAGAACUCAUGUCUCAUUAUGUUGUGUCCUGAUCUCAGGCGAAAAAAUUAUGUGUUGGUCAUGUCGAGAUAUCUUAUAAUAGGCACCGUUUUAAUGAUAGAGUUGCAAAAGUUUUAAAAAUUAUUUUUGUUUAUGAAAUGCAGUUUCUUUUGUAGACAUAUUUGUUUCAGACACACACAAAAACCUGGCAACUAUAGAAGCAUACAUCCUAAAGUUUCAAUGUAGCUCUCUCGUCUCAUAUUUCAAAUAAAUAAAUGACGUUACAGUGACGUAAUAGUCGCUACAAAUGAAAUAUCAUUAAAAAUCCAAAGUAUGAAAGCAUUAUCUAAUGUGAUGAUACUCUACUGUUUAAUCCAGAUAAUGCUAAAAACACAACCUCUCGACUUCACAAACAACUAUCACUGGGCUUGAUCGUUAUAGAAGGCCUCUACAAGACCUGCGACGUCGCUACCUGUGGGCAGUGGAGACCAAAAGCACGUUGCCGCGUCAUACAGACUUGUGACGUGGAAACGAAGUACUGGUCUCCACCGCCCCACAAGUUGCGACGUUGCAGGUUAGUGUUUAGGUCUUCUAAGACGAUUGGUCUCGGCUUGAUCAGCAAGGCUAUCAAUUCAGUAUUUUAAAUCAGACCGUUGACUUGCUUUGUGCGAGUGGCUUAAACAUGCGCUGAACUUGAUGUUCUUGGUCCUUUUGGGCCUCAAGAUAACCACUAAAAUGUAUUAGUAUCAAGAACUUUUCUGAAAGACCCCUCUUGAGAUAAUCUUUUGUCCAAGCAUGCUAGCGUUUGUCUCUUCAUAGUACUGAGAAGGAAGUUUAAGUAACAUUACAAAAGCCCAUAGAGAGUUGGAUACACAUUGAAUAUACAGUACUUGUUACGUUUACUUUAUCAAGUAUAUACAUUUGUAGAAUGUAAUAUUUUGGAUUCAGUUUUUUUAAUUUUUAAUUUUCCAAUCCAUUGUCAAUAAAUCAAACUCUUAGAUUCAGAUUUUUUAAACUUUUUUGUUUAAAUAGACCUUUCUAAUAAAUUAUCAAAUAGAGAUAUCAAAAGACAUGGUAAUAUCUGUCAUGGGUUCUUACUUUCCUAAUCUGUUGUCAGAUAUCUCUUCCGAAGAUUGUAGGCACUAGGUGCCUGAAGUACUAAUAUCCCAACUCCAAAAUAGAUUGAUCCCAAAGUUUAAAAGUGUGCGUGUAUAUUGUAUUUAUAACCCAAUUCCAACAAUGUAGUGACUGUAUCUCCAAUUACUAUAUACCUGUAUAUUGACUUUUUGUAACUUUUUAAUAAAGCUUUUAGGUCUACGUUUGUCUCAGAAAUAUUUAUUGUUUAUCUAGUUGUUUUAAGUUUUUAAAUAAAACUUAUUAGUACAUUAUAAUGUGCUUGAUUCAUUGUGUGUUACAACCAUAAAAUAAAGAAUGAUUGUAUUACGAUUCUAAAAUGAUUCUAAUUACAAUGCAUUUUGUCAUAAAAUUGGUGACUUCAACUUAUGUGAGAACCCUUCAAAUUUUUAGAAAUGUAAAUUUAAAAAAAAAUAGCAGUCUAUAACUUAGAAUGUUUUACCUUUUUUUUGGGGGGUGUAUUUCUUUAUCUUGGUUAUCAGUGAAUUCAUUUUUUUUUCACAAGUGCUCACCAAUUACUUAUUCUCGAUCUCAACCAUCUUCUUCAGCUGACACCAUGCCAUCACUGCGGCUUGGGUCCAUGGGCGCAAAGAAAUAUUUUUUUUUGUAAUACAUUAAAAUUAGUUAAGCACAAAUAAAAUAAUUAUAAAAAAUACUUUUUUUAAAGAUUAUCUUGGGUUUAAUUGUAUCAAUU